rnacentral:rRNA from 1 species
UACGUAGGGGGCAAGCGUUGUCCGGAAUCAUUGGGCGUAAAGAGCGCGUAGGCGGUCCGGUAAGUCGGUUGUGAAAACUGGGGGCUCAACCCUCAGAGGCCGACCGAUACUGUCGGGCUAGAGUCCGGAAGAGGCGAGUGGAAUUCCUGGUGUAGCGGUGAAAUGCGCAGAUAUCAGGAGGAACACCGGUGGCGAAGGCGGUUCUCUGGGCCUUACCUGACGCUGAGGAGCGAAAGCGUGGGGAGCAAACAGG